GAUGAACGCUGGCGGCGUGCCUAAUACAUGCAAGUCGAGCGAAAAGACGAGGAGCUUGCUCCUCUGACGUUAGCGGCGGACGGGUGAGUAACAUGUGGAUAACCUACCUAUAAGACUGGGAUAACUUCGGGAAACCGGAGCUAAUACCGGAUAAUAUAUUGAACCGCAGGGUUCAAUAGUGAAAGACGGUUUUGCUGUCACUUAUAGAUGGAUCCGCGCCGCAUUAGCGAGUUGGUAAGGUAACGGCUUACCAAGGCGACGAUGCGUAGCCGACCUGAGAGGGUGAUCGGCCACACUGGAACUGAGACGCGGUCCAGACUCCUACGGGAGGCAGCAGUAGGGAAUCUUCCGCAAUGGGCGAAAGCCUGACGGAGCAACGCCGCGUGAGUGAUGAAGGUCUUCGGAUCGUAAAACUCUGUUAUUAGGGAAGAACAAAUGUGUAAGUAACUAUGCACGUCUUGACGGUACCUAAUCAGAAAGCCACGGCUAACUACGUG
rnacentral:rRNA from 1 species